CAGUCGCCGCGGGAACACGAAGGGGGCUAGCGUUAAUCGGAAUUACUGGGCGUAAAGCGUGCGUAGGCGGUUUGUUAAGUCUGUUGUGAAAUCCCCGGGCUCAACCUGGGAAUGGCAAUGGAUACUGGCAAGCUAGAGUGUGUCAGAGGAUGGUGGAAUUCCCGGUGUAGCGGUGGAAUGCGUAGAGAUCGGGAGGAACAUCAGUGGCGAAGGCGGCCAUCUGGGACAACACUGACGCUGAGGCACGAAAGCGUGGGGAGCAAACAGGAUUAGAUACCCCGGUAGUCCCUGUCUCUUAACC
rnacentral:rRNA from 1 species